UACGUAGGGUGCGAGCGUUGUCCGGAAUUAUUGGGCGUAAAGAGCUUGUAGGCGGUUUGUCGCGUCUGCUGUGAAAUUCCAGGGCUUAACCCUGGGCUUGCAGUGGGUACGGGCAGACUAGAGUGUGGUAGGGGAGACUGGAAUUCCUGGUGUAGCGGUGAAAUGCGCAGAUAUCAGGAGGAACACCGGUGGCGAAGGCGGCAUCCUGGACCGGCAUUGACGCUGAGUGAGCGAAAGCCAGGGGAGCAAACGGG
rnacentral:rRNA from 1 species